AGUGAACGCUGGCGGUAGGCCUAACACAUGCAAGUCGAACGGCAGCACAGUAAGAGCUUGCUCUUACGGGUGGCGAGUGGCGGACGGGUGAGGAAUACAUCGGAAUCUACUUUUUCGUGGGGGAUAACGUAGGGAAACUUACGCUAAUACCGCAUACGACCUACGGGUGAAAGCAGGGGAUCUUCGGACCUUGCGCGAUUGAAUGAGCCGAUGUCGGAUUAGCUAGUUGGCGGGGUAAAGGCCCACCAAGGCGACGAUCCGUAGCUGGUCUGAGAGGAUGAUCAGCCACACUGGAACUGAGACACGGUCCAGACUCCUACGGGAGGCAGCAGUGGGGAAUAUUGGACAAUGGGCGCAAGCCUGAUCCAGCCAUACCGCGUGGGUGAAGAAGGCCUUCGGGUUGUAAAGCCCUGUUGUUGGGAAAGAACAGCAGCAUGUUAAUACCCCGCUGUUCUGACGGUACCCAAAGAAUAAGCACCGGCUAACUUCGUG
rnacentral:rRNA from 1 species